GGCCGGUCGAGGAGCAGUAAGCGGCCGACCAGAGGCUGAAGUUGGAGGCAUAGAAGGGAGCCAGCCCGGCUGCGAACAUCCUGCCGGGGAGUCCGUGUCCUCGGCAAAGCCCCUCAUCUUUCUUGGACCCUUGCCCAAAUGUUGCCACCCUGAGUCCCAGCCCAACUCAGCACCACGUCCGCCCUGUGCCUCCCUGGAGAUUCUCGGGGAAGCGAGAAGGAGGGGUGACCGCAAAUUAGCUUUAUUCUGAGCUGUCACACAGUGACAACUUGAACGAGUGACUUUUCAAACAAAAUAAGACGGAUGGCUCCAAACGUCUCCCUUAGACGCAGCCAAACCUUUCCCCGGAGCCUCAGAGGCUACAAAACAGGCUGCCUCCAGAAACCCGGGAGCGGCACGCGCGUCCCUCCUUUGCAGGAGGUUGUAGGAAAUGUCAGCCUCCCUCCUCCACCACAUGUCCGGAUCACGUGGGGUUCGUUGUUUUGCAAGUGCCCACAAGAGCAGAUUUCCGUGGGGUUCAAUAUUGCUUUCAAUUCUGUGACAGAUUCCCCAGGAACCCCUUGGGCCUGGUCGCAGGAGGAGCUGCAGUGGUGGUCAACGUCUUCCAUUCGUGCCUUCGGUCUUUAGAACGCAGGGUGGUGGUAGUGGGGGUUUUGUGCAACAUCAACAUCUCUAUUUUAAGAAUUUGUUCUCUUUUAAAUUAUAGUCAGAAUGGAUUUCCCCACCCCUCUCCCAAACAAACCACAGGCCACCCAGAUAAGCUGUUUUUGCACAUUUUCAGGAAGAAAAUAAAAUAAUACGAAUAAUGAAA